rnacentral:rRNA from 1 species
AUUGAACGCUGGCGGCAGGCCUAACACAUGCAAGUCGAGCGAGCGGCGGGCGGGUGAGUAAUGCCGGGGAAUUGCCCAGUCGAGGGGGAUAACAGUAGGAAAGGCUUGCUAAUACCGCAUACGGAUGGAUUGCCCAGGUGGGAUUAGUUGGUUGGGGGGGUAAUGGCUCACCAAGGCCACGAUCCCUAGCUGGUCUGAGAGGAUGAUCAGCCACACUGGAACUGAGACACGGUCCAGACUCCUACGGGAGGCAGCAGUGGGGAAUAUUGCACAAUGGAGGAAAGCCUGAUGCAGCCAUGCCGCGUGUGUGAAGAAGGCCUUCGGGUUGUAAAGCACUUUCAGCGAGGAGGCGUUACCCGCAGAAGAAGCACCGGCUAACUCCGUGCCAGCAGCCGCGGUAAUAC